rfam:Pteropus alecto contig95610, whole genome shotgun sequence.
GUCUAUGGCCAUGCUACCCUGAACAAGCCCGAUCUUGUUUGAUCUUGGAAGCUAAGCAGGGUUGGGCCUGGUUAGUACUUGGAUGGGAGACCACCUAGGAAAACCAGGUGCUGUAGGUG